rnacentral:rRNA from 2 species
CUUGCAUCAUGAUUUACAUUUGAGUGAGUGGCGAACUGGUGAGUAACACGUGGGAAACCUGCCCAGAAGCGGGGGAUAACACCUGGAAACAGAUGCUAAUACCGCAUAACAACUUGGACCGCAUGGUCCGAGCUUGAAAGAUGGCUUCGGCUAUCACUUUUGGAUGGUCCCGCGGCGUAUUAGCUAGAUGGUGGGGUAACGGCUCACCAUGGCAAUGAUACGUAGCCGACCUGAGAGGGUAAUCGGCCACAUUGGGACUGAGACACGGCCCAAACUCCUACGGGAGGCAGCAGUAGGGAAUCUUCCACAAUGGACGAAAGUCUGAUGGAGCAACGCCGCGUGAGUGAAGAAGGGUUUCGGCUCGUAAAACUCUGUUGUUAAAGAAGAACAUAUCUGAGAGUAACUGUUCAGGUAUUGACGGUAUUUAACCAGAAAGCCACGGCUAACUACGUGCCAGCAGCCGCGGUAAUACGUAGGUGGCAAGCGUUGUCCGGAUUUAUUGGGCGUAAAGCGAGCGCAGGCGGUUUUUUAAGUCUGAUGUGAAAGCCUUCGGCUCAACCGAAGAAGUGCAUCGGAAACUGGGAAACUUGAGUGCAGAAGAGGACAGUGGAACUCCAUGUGUAGCGGUGAAAUGCGUAGAUAUAUGGAAGAACACCAGUGGCGAAGGCGGCUGUCUGGUCUGUAACUGACGCUGAGGCUCGAAAGUAUGGGUAGCAAACAGGAUUAGAUACCCUGGUAGUCCAUACCGUAAACGAUGAAUGCUAAGUGUUGGAGGGUUUCCGCCCUUCAGUGCUGCAGCUAACGCAUUAAGCAUUCCGCCUGGGGAGUACGGCCGCAAGGCUGAAACUCAAAGGAAUUGACGGGGGCCCGCACAAGCGGUGGAGCAUGUGGUUUAAUUCGAAGCUACGCGAAGAACCUUACCAGGUCUUGACAUACUAUGCAAAUCUAAGAGAUUAGACGUUCCCUUCGGGGACAUGGAUACAGGUGGUGCAUGGUUGUCGUCAGCUCGUGUCGUGAGAUGUUGGGUUAAGUCCCGCAACGAGCGCAACCCUUAUUAUCAGUUGCCAGCAUUAAGUUGGGCACUCUGGUGAGACUGCCGGUGACAAACCGGAGGAAGGUGGGGAUGACGUCAAAUCAUCAUGCCCCUUAUGACCUGGGCUACACACGUGCUACAAUGGAUGGUACAACGAGUUGCGAACUCGCGAGAGUAAGCUAAUCUCUUAAAGCCAUUCUCAGUUCGGAUUGUAGGCUGCAACUCGCCUACAUGAAGUCGGAAUCGCUAGUAAUCGCGGAUCAGCAUGCCGCGGUGAAUACGUUCCCGGGCCUUGUACACACCGCCCGUCACACCAUGAGAGUUUGUAACACCC